rnacentral:rRNA from 1 species
AACGCGAAGAACCUUACCAGGACUUGACAUGCAACUGCACCACCCGUAAUGGGGUGUCCCUUCGGGGCGAUUGCACAGGUGCUGCAUGGCUGUCGUCAGCUCGUGUCGUGAGAUGUUGGGUUCAGUCCCGCAACGAGCGCAACCCCUGCCGCUAGUUAGGAUGUCUAGCGGGACCGCCGCGAUCAACGCGGAGGAAGGCGGGGAUGACGUCAAGUCAGCACGGCCCUUACGUCCUGGGCUACACACACGCUACAAUGGUCGGUACAACGGGCUGCCAACCCGCGAGGGGGAGCCAAUCCCAACAAAACCGGCCUCAGUUCAGAUUGUAGGCUGAAACCCGCCUGCAUGAAGGAGGAGUUGCUAGUAACCGUGGGUCAGCACACUACGGUGAAUACGUUCCCGGGCCUUGUA